rnacentral:rRNA from 1 species
AGUGAACGCUGGCGGUAGGCCUAACACAUGCAAGUCGAACGGCAGCACAGUAGGGCCUGCCCUUAACGGGGGGGGGUGGCGGGAGGGUGGGGGAAACAUCGGGAACUACUUUUUUCGUGGGGGUUAAGGAGGGGAAACUUCGGCUAAUACGGCUACGGACCACGGGGGAAAGGAAGGGGAUUUUGGACCUUGGCCGGUUUAAAUGGCCGGAUGUCGGAUUAGCUAGUUGGCGGGGUAAAGGCCCACCAAGGCGACGAUCCGUAGCUGGUCUGAGAGGAUGAUCAGCCACACUGGAACUGAGACACGGUCCAGACUCCUACGGGAGGCAGCAGUGGGGAAUAUUGGACAAUGGGCGCAAGCCUGAUCCAGCCAUACCGCGUGGGUGAAGAAGGCCUUCGGGUUGUAAAGCCCUUUUGUUGGGAAAGAAAAGCAGCAGGUUAAUACCCCGCUGUUCUGACGGUACCCAAAGAAUAAGCACCGGCUAACUUCGUG